ensembl:miRNA
UCUGGGGAUUCUGGAGUCUAGGAUUCCAGGAUCUGGGUUUCGAGGUCUUGGGUUGUAGCGUCUGGGGUUUGAAGCCGCUCUUG